UACGUAGGGGGCAAGCGUUGUCCGGAUUUAUUGGGCGUAAAGAGCGUGUAGGCGGCUUGGUAGGUCCGCUGUGAAAACUCGAGGCUCAACCUCGAGAUGUCGGCGGAAACCACUUGGCUAGAGUCCGGAAGAGGAGAGUGGAAUUCCUGGUGUAGCGGUGAAAUGCGCAGAUAUCAGGAAGAACACCUAUGGCGAAGGCAGCUCUCUGGGACGGUACUGACGCUGAGACGCGAAAGCGUGGGGGGCGAACAGG
rnacentral:rRNA from 1 species